UUCCGGUUGAUCCCGCCGGACCUGACUGCUAUCGGAUUGAUACUAAGCCAUGCGAGUCUUUGUAGUAAUACAAGGCAUACGGCUCAGUAACGCGUAGUCAACCUACCCUAUGGACAAGAAUAAUCUCGGGAAACUGAGCAUAAUUCUUGAUAGAUCAUAAUGCCUGGAAUGGUUUAUGGUUAAAAUGAUUCGUCGCCAUAGGAUGGGACUGCGGCCUAUCAGCUUGUUGGUGAGGUAAUGGCCCACCAAGGCGAUUACAGGUACGGGCUCUGAGAGGAGAAGCCCGGAGAUGGGUACUGAGACAAGGACCCAGGCCCUAUGGGGCGCAGCAGGCGAGAAAACUUUGCAAUGUGCGAAAGCACGACAAGGUUAGUCCGAGUGAUUUCUGCUAAAGAGAUCUUUUGCUAGUUAUAAAACCACUAGUGAAUAAGGGGUGGGCAAGUUCUGGUGUCAGCCGCCGCGGUAAAACCAGCACCUCAAGUGGUCAGGAUGAUUAUUGGGCCUAAAGCAUCCGUAGCCGGCUCUGUAAGUUUUCGGUUAAAUCUAUGCGCUCAACGUAUGGGCUGCCGAAAAUACUGUAGAGAUAGGGAGUGGGAGAGGUAGACGGUACUCGGUAGGAAGGGGUAAAAUCCUUUGAUCUAUCGAUGACCACCUGUGGCGAAGGCGGUCUACCAGAACACGUUCGACGGUGAGGGAUGAAGCUGGGGGAGCAAACCGGAUUAGAUACCCGGGUAGUCCCAGCCGUAAACGAUGCAGACUCGAUGAUGCGUUGGCAUAUAGCCAGUGCAGUGUCGCAGGGAAGCCGUUAAGUCUGCCGCCUGGGAAGUACGUACGCAAGUAUGAAACUUAAAGGAAUUGGCGGGGGAGCACCACAAGGGGUGAAGCCUGCGGUUCAAUUGGAUUCAACGCCGG
rnacentral:rRNA from 1 species